AACGAACGCUGGCGGCAGGCCUAACACAUGCAAGUCGAACGCCCUAGCAAUAGGGAGUGGCAGACGGGUGAGUAACACGUGGGAACCUUCCCUAUACUACGGAAUAGCCCAGGGAAACUUGGAGUAAUACCGUAUACGCCCGAGAGGGGAAAGAUUUAUCGGUAUAGGAUGGGCCCGCGUCGGAUUAGCUAGUUGGUGAGGUAACGGCUCACCAAGGCGACGAUCCGUAGCUGGUUUGAGAGAACGACCAGCCACACUGGGACUGAGACACGGCCCAGACUCCUACGGGAGGCAGCAGUGGGGAAUAUUGGACAAUGGGCGCAAGCCUGAUCCAGCCAUGCCGCGUGAGUGAUGAAGGCCUUAGGGUUGUAAAGCUCUUUUGCCGGGGACGAUAAUGACGGUACCCGGAGAAUAAGCUCCGGCUAACUUCGUGCCAGCCGCCGCCGUAAGAC
rnacentral:rRNA from 1 species